GUAGGUGAACCUGCGGAAGGAUCAUUAAAAAUAUCCUUCACCCUGGAUGAAAGUCCGGGUGGACCAGCCUCCCGGGCUCUAAACUAACGUGAAGCCAAUCCGCUCUCCUCGCGAGGCGUUUCUGGAACUCGUCAUCAACUUCAUACCACUGUGAACCUCCCGUUGCUUCGGCGGCAUGCAUUCGUGCUGUCAGCCCGUCCGAGGCUCACCGAAACCACUUCUGUAAACUUCCGUCAGUAUACGAAAAGUAAAUCGUUAAAACUUUCAACAACGGAUCUCUUGGUUCUC
rnacentral:misc_RNA from 1 species